rnacentral:rRNA from 1 species
ACGAACGCUGGCGGCGUGCUUAACACCUGCAAGUCGCACGGAAAGGCCCUGCUUUUGUGGGGUGCUCGAGUGGCGAACGGGUGAGUAACACGUGAGUAACCUGCCCUUGACUUUGGGAUAACUUCAGGAAACUGGGGCUAAUACCGGAUAGGAGCUCCUGCUGCAUGGUGGGGGUUGGAAAGUUUCGGCGGUUGGGGAUGGACUCGCGGCUUAUCAGCUUGUUGGUGGGGUAGUGGCUUACCAAGGCUUUGACGGGUAGCCGGCCUGAGAGGGUGACCGGCCACAUUGGGACUGAGAUACGGCCCAGACUCCUACGGGAGGCAGCAGUGGGGAAUAUUGCACAAUGGGCGGAAGCCUGAUGCAGCAACGCCGCGUGCGGGAUGACGGCCUUCGGGUUGUAAACCGCUUUCGCCUGUGACGAAGCGUGAGUGACGGUAAUGGGUAAAGAAGCACCGGCUAACUACGU